AAUAGGAGAAUGACAAAUCAGAGUUUUCCACUUAAUUUUCAGUUUUUUUCUUCUGAAAAAAUUAAAUCCAACUAAAAAUGUUAAAAAUCAGGAAGAAAAUUUUAAUUUUUCAUUCUUCUAUU
rfam:Gossypium raimondii Chr06_contig_871, whole genome shotgun sequence.